rnacentral:rRNA from 1 species
UACGUAGGGUGCGAGCGUUAAUCGGAAUUACUGGGCGUAAAGCGUGCGCAGGCGGUUCGUUGUGUCGGUGGUGAAAGCCCCGGGCUUAACCUGGGAAUGGCCAUGGAAACUGGCGAACUGGAGUGUGGCAGAGGGGGGUGGAAUUCCGCGUGUAGCAGUGAAAUGCGUAGAGAUGUGGAGGAACACCAGUGGCGAAGGCGACUCUCUGGUCUGUAACUGACGCUGAGGCGCGAAAGCGUGGGGAGCAAACAGG